AAAACAAACCUAAAGGCGUAAUGAAAGUAAAGAUUGUUUUUAUAACAAUUGAGGGAAGAUGGGUUAUAUUACGAUAUAAUCCCGCAUUCCCAGGACGUCUUAUUCUCAUU
rnacentral:rRNA from 1 species